rnacentral:rRNA from 1 species
CCUACGGGAGGCAGCAGUGGGGAAUCUUAGACAAUGGGCGAAAGCCUGAUCUAGCCAUGCCGCGUGAGUGAUGAAGGCCCUAGGGUCGUAAAGCUCUUUCAACUGUGAAGAUAAUGACGGUAGCAGUAGAAGAAACCCCGGCUAACUCCGUGCCAGCAGCCGCGGUAAU